rnacentral:rRNA from 1 species
ACGAACGCUGGCGGCGUGCUUAACACAUGCAAGUCGAACGGAAAGGCCCUGCUUGCCGGGUACUCGAGUGGCGAACGGGUGAGUAACACGUGGGUGAUCUGCCCUGCACUUCGGGAUAAGCUUGGGAAACUGGGUCUAAUACCGGAUAGGAGCCAUCUUUAGUGUGGUGGUUGGAAAGUUUUUUCGGUGUAGGAUGAGCUCGCGGCCUAUCAGCUUGUUGGUGGGGUAAUGGCCUACCAAGGCGGCGACGGGUAGCCGGCCUGAGAGGGUGUACGGCCACAUUGGGACUGAGAUACGGCCCAGACUCCUACGGGAGGCAGCAGUGGGGAAUAUUGCACAAUGGGCGCAAGCCUGAUGCAGCGACGCCGCGUGGGGGAUGAAGGCCUUCGGGUUGUAAACUCCUUUCGCUAGGGACGAAGCUUUUUUGUGACGGUACCUAGAUAAGAAGCACCGGCUAACUACGUG